rnacentral:rRNA from 1 species
CUGGUUGAUCCUGCCAGUAGUCAUAUGCUUGUCUCAAAGAUUAAGCCAUGCAUGUCUGAGUAUAARCAUCAAUACUGUAAAACCGCGGACGGCUCAUUAUAACAGUAAUAAUCAAAGAUACAUAAUCCUUCGGGAUUGGAUAACUGCGGAAAAUCUGGAGCUAAUACAUAGAAAUCGCUUCCCACUGUGGAAGUACUUUCAAUGCUAUGGUGGACGGGGGCAACCCUGGAAACUUGAUAGGAGAUUAAAAUGAAAGCGCAUGCUUUAUUGCGGCGCGUUGUAUCUAGAAUUACUGACCCAUCAACCAGAUGGUAAUGUAGUGGAUUACCAUAGUCUUAACGGGUCACGGGGAAUUAGGGUUUGAUUCCGGAGAGGGCGCCUGAGAGACGGCACCUACUUCUAAGGAAGGCAGCAGGCGCGCAAAUUACCCAAUUCUAGUGCAGAGAGGUAGUGACAAGGAAUAGCAAUGUAGCUUCCGAAUAGGGAGUUACAAUUGAAAUGAGCGGGGAGUAAACACCCCUACGAGUAUCAAUUGGAGGGAAAGUCUGGUGCCAGCAGCCGCGGUAAUUCCAGCUCCAAGAGCAUAUAUUAAAGUUGCUGCAGUUAAAACGCCCGUAGCCGAAGUCAUGUCGGAUUCUUCUGGUCUACCUCUCUCAAAGGGGCUGUGUACUAUUGGGGUCCGAUAUGUCUUCGAUUGCAAGAUAGCAUAGACUUAAUUGCCUGUGUUCCCUGUUGCAAUCCUUUUAUUGUGAAUAAAUCAAACUGCUCAAAGGAGAUAGUGUGUCAUGAAUGAUUAAGCAUGAGAUAAUAGAAUAGGAAUGCUUCAAGGGCCGCCCCUUGUCGUGUUAAUGAUUAAUAGGAAGUGUGCGGGGAUAUCCUUAUUUUGUGAGAAGAGGUGAAAUUCUAUGAUUCAUAAAAGAAGAACGAAAGCAUAAGCAGUUGUCUAGCAACUUUCCAUUGGUCAAGGACGAAAGUUUGGGGAUCGAAGACGAUCAGAUACCGUCGUAGUCCAAACUAUAAACGAUGUCGCCUGGAGAUUUUACGAUGUUACUAUAUGACCCCUAGAGUACCCUGUGGGAAACCAUAAGCUCAUGGACUCUGGGGGGAGUAUGGUCGCAAGGCUGAAACUUAAAAGAAUUGACGGAAGAUCACCACCAGGAGUGGAACCUGCGGCUUAAUUUGACUCAACACGGGAAAGCUCACCAGGUCCGGACACUUGUAUGAUUGACAGAUUGAUAGCUCUUUCUUGAUUAGGUGGGUGGUGGUGCAUGGCCGUUCUUAGUUGGUGGAGUGAUUUGUCUGGUUUAUUCCGAUAACGAACGAGAUCUUGAUUCAUUAAAUAGUGUAUGCGACCCCUAUCGGGUGAAGUACUAUAGUACUGGCUUCUCUUCACGGAGGGGUUAGGACUGUGGGAUGGAUCCUUGGGUCAUCGUAUAUAUCUUCUUAGAAGGACUACCUACGGUAAGUGGGUGGAAGUUCAAGGCAAUAACAGGUCUGUGAUGCCCUUAGAUGUUCUGGGCUGCACGCGCGUUACACUGGUAGGAUUGACGAGCUCUUUUUACCUUGGCCGACAGGUCUGGGGAAUCUUUUAAUUCUUACCGUGCUGGGGAUAGAUGAUUGUAAUUAUUUGUUUUGAACGAGGAAUUCCUAGUAAGCAUAGGUCAUCAACCUGUGCUGAUUACGUCCCUGGUCUUUGUACACACCGCCCGUCGCUCCUACCGAUUGAGUAUUCCGGUGAAAUCUUUGGAUUGGAACUCCGCUGUAGGGUGACCUGUAAGAGUAUCGAGAAAUUGAGUAAACCAUCUUACUUAGAGGAAGGAGAAGUCGUAACAAGGUAUUCGUAGGUGAACCUGCAGAAGAUCAGCUUGGAUGCCCGGG